rnacentral:tRNA from 2 species
GCAGGAGUAGUACAUCGGUAGUACACGAGCUUCCCAAGCUUGGAAGGCGGGUUCGACUCCCGUCUCUUGCUCCA